CCACAGGUACAGGCACAGACUCCAAGACAGAAACAGCCACAGACACAGGCUCGAACACUGGCACGGGAGUGGAAACAACGAUGAGCCCAACCAUAACCACGACUUCAGACUCGAUCCCUGGAUGGA